rnacentral:rRNA from 1 species
GACGAACGCUGGCGGCGUGCUUAACACAUGCAAGUCGAACGAUGAAGCCUAGCUUGCUAGGUGGAUUAGUGGCGAACGGGUGAGUAAUACGUGAGUAACCUACCUUUAACUCUGGGAUAAGCCUGGGAAACUGGGUCUAAUACCGGAUACGACCAAUCUCCGCAUGGGGUGUUGGUGGAAAGCGUUAUGUAGUGGUUAUAGAUGGGCUCACGGCCUAUUAGCUUGGUGGGGAGGGAACGGCUCACCAAGGCGACGGCGGGUCGCCGGCCUGGGAGGGUGACCAGCCACCCUGGGCCUGCGACACGGCCCAGACUCCUACGGGAGGCAGCAGUGGCGAAUAUUGCACAGUGGGCGCAAGCCUGAUGCAGAGACGCCGCGUGAGGGAUGACGGCCUUCGGGUUGUAAACCUCUGUUAGCAGGGAAGAAGAGAGAUUGACGGUACCUGCAGAGAAAGCGCCGGCUAACUACGUG